GAAAAGAAAAUGUUUAACUUUGUAAGAAACUGCCAAACUGUGUUCCAAAGUGGCUGUACCAUUUUGCAUUCCUACCAGGAAUAAAUGAGACUUCCUGUUGA